rnacentral:rRNA from 1 species
CGAAACUGCGAAUGGCUCAUUAAAACAGUUAUAGUUUAUUUGGUAUUGUUUUUACAUGGAUAACCGUGGUAAAUCUAGAGCUAAUACAUGCGAAAAAACCUGACUUUUUGGAAGGGUUGUAUUUAUUAGGUAUAAACCAAUACACCGCAAGGUGUUUUGUGAUGAUUCAUAAUAACUGAGCGAAUCGUUUGCUUGUCAAACGAUAAACCAUUCAAGUUUCUGCCCUAUCAGCUUUCGAUGGUAGUGUAUUGGACUACCAUGGCUAUCACGGGUAACGGGGAAUUAGGGUUCGAUUCCGGAGAGGGAGCCUGAGAAACGGCUACCACAUCUAAGGAAGGCAGCAGGCGCGUAAAUUACCUAAUCCUGACUCAGGGAGGUAGUGACAAGAAAUAACA